rnacentral:rRNA from 1 species
GAGAGUUUGAUCCUGGCUCAGGAUGAACGCUGGCGGCGUGCUUAACACAUGCAAGUCGAGCGAAGCAUUUUAAAGGAAGUUUUCGGAUGGAAUUUAAGAUGACUUAGCGGCGGACGGGUGAGUAACGCGUGGGUAACCUGCCUCAUACAGGGGGAUAACAGUUAGAAAUGACUGCUAAUACCGCAUAAGCGCACAGUGCUGCAUAGUACAGUGUGAAAAACUCCGGUGGUAUGAGAUGGACCCGCGUCUGAUUAGGUAGUUGGUGAGGUAACGGCCCACCAAGCCGACGAUCAGUAGCCGACCUGAGAGGGUGACCGGCCACAUUGGGACUGAGACACGGCCCAAACUCCUACGGGAGGCAGCAGUGGGGAAUAUUGGACAAUGGGGGAAACCCUGAUCCAGCGACGCCGCGUGAGUGAAGAAGUAUUUCGGUAUGUAAAGCUCUAUCAGCAGGGAAGAAAAUGACGGUACCUGACUAAGAAGCCCCGGCUAACUA